CUUCGGAAACAAAGGCCUGCUCAUCUGUGAGGCACUGUGAACAGUGGGCAGCACUGAAGGCUAUAGCAGGGACUGAUGUGGUGAGGACCCGGAACCCAGUGAAGGAACCAUUUCCUGCAUCUGCCCCAAACAGGUACCCCAGGACAAGCGGCCUGCCAGUUUAAAAAGAAGAACCAUUUCACUGUCAAAGUCUAGGAGAGACGAACGUUGAUGGACUCGUUUCCAACAAGAGAAAAAGAAAGCUGUCAAGGGGCUAAACUCAGUGAAUGGAUAGAAAAGAGAGGGAUUCCAACUCUCUCUCACUUGGUGAAAAGUGGCAAGCAGCUGACACAGGCAAAGAAGGCCUCUAACCAGAAGACUUCAGAUUCCUGCUGCCUGUGCUCUAAAGUCCCCAGGUGCUUCCUGGUGAAGGCAGGAGUCCCAGAGAGAGAAAUCAUGACAGGAGCCUGCCAGGCCAGUCGUCUCUUACAUCUGAAUAUGUUUUGAAAUGGGAACAAAGAUCACCACAAAAAAACCCGAGUCUUCCACAUCCAAGCUGGCUUUGAGGUUUGAUCUCAAAUUGGAGCCUUUCAAGUUAUUUCACAUUUGGCCAAAUAGGGUUCUUCAGUUUCUUACUUUUCCUCCUUUUCUUAUGAAAGAAUGCCGAUCUAAAAAGCUCCUGGGCACUAGUGGGUUCUGAGGAAACCACACUGCAGCCUGCUCUGUGACUGGAUCCGUCACUAAUUACAUCUCUAUCUUACCCAGUGAGCUGAGCCAUGGACAGGCACAGGGAUCAUUCUGGGUAUUGUGAUUCUGAGAACCAGUCAGCUUUGCCUCUCUCCUGCCAUAAAUGUCAGGCCUGAGGCCGAGACAGCCUUGACCACACGGGCAGCUACUGCUGAAAUCAUCGUAAGACGAGGCUUCUACUGCAGUGGUCUCAACUCCCAAAGACCAUUUACGCUAUGAUUCGUAACAGUAGCAAAAUCACACUUAUAAAGUAGCAACGGCUGGAAACCCCUAAAACACGAGGAACUGUAUUAAAGGGCCACAGCUUUAGAAAGGUUGAGAACCGCUGCUCUAGGCUCCUUCGUGUGGGAAAUCAAAUGGAAAAGCACACCAACCUCUCUGGAGAUGGCCCACCCAGCGGCAAGUAACUCACUAGCCCCCCUCUCUCAACAGUCUCUGAGCCAGAAAGGCCUCACUCUGGAAGCCCUUUGCCCAGCUUCAGAGCAGGCAGCAGGCACUCCAGAUAACUGAGAGGUGGGGUUAACUCUCCGUCUAACUUCCACCUGUAGGCAGCAUGAGUCUCACCAAGAGCAGCAGGAGCUACGGGAGCCCCAUAGCAGCAGAGAUCUUCACUAACUUGUCUCUGGGUCUUGCAGACUCCAGUGCAGCUAAGCAUAAAACCGUUUGCUAGAUGAAUGUAUGAAUCUCACAGGCACUUAAU